rnacentral:misc_RNA from 3 species
AACGCACAUUGCGCCCGCCAGCAUUCUGGCGGGCAUGCCUGUUCGAGCGUCAUUACAACACUCGACUUCCCGGGCCCAGCCCGUGGAAGUCGGCAUUGGGGAUCGGCAGCACACCGCCGGCCCUGAAAUGGAGUGGCGGCCCGUCCGCGGCGACCUCUGCGUAGUAAUCCAACUCGCACCGGAACCCCGACGUGGCCACGCCGUAAAACACCCAACUUCUGAACGUUGACCUCGAAUCAGGUAGGACUACCCGCUGAACUUAA